rnacentral:rRNA from 1 species
GUCCCGCCUGCCCAGUGACUACGGGUUCAACGGCCGCGGUAUUUUGACCGUGCUAAGGUAGCGCAAUCACUUGUCUUUUAAUUGAAGACCUGUAUGAAUGGCAUCACGAGGGCUUAACUGUCUCCUUUUUCCCGUCAAUGAAAUUGAUCCCCCCGUGCAGAAGCGGGGAUAACCCCAUAAGACGAGAAGACCCUAUGGAGCUUUAGGCUCCCGAGCAGAUUAUGUUAUUAACCUGAAAUAAAAGACAAAACUAAUUAGCUCCUGCUCUAAUGCCUUUGGUUGGGGCGACCACGGGGAAACAAAAACCCCCCGCGCGGACCGGGAGAACUGACCCCUCCACACAACCUAGAGCUACAGCUCUAAAUAACAGAACUUCUGACCAACUAAAUGAUCCGGUACUAACCGAUCAACGGACCCAGUUACCCUAGGGAUAACAGCGCAAUCCCCUUUUAGAGUCCAUAUCGACAAGAGGGUUUACGACCUCGAUGUUGGAUCAGGACAUCCUAUUGGUGCAGCCGCUAAUAAGGG